rnacentral:rRNA from 1 species
UACGAAGGGGGCUAGCGUUGUUCGGAAUUACUGGGCGUAAAGCGCGCGCAGGUGGUCUUUCAAGUCAGUGGUGAAAGCCCGGAGCUCAACUCCGGAACUGCCUUUGAUACUGAGAAGCUUGAGUCCGGGAGAGGUGAGUGGAACUGCGAGUGUAGAGGUGAAAUUCGUAGAUAUUCGCAAGAACACCAGUGGCGAAGGCGGCUCACUGGCCCGGUACUGACGCUGAGGUGCGAAAGCGUGGGGAGCAAACAGG